rnacentral:rRNA from 1 species
UACGUAGGGUGCAAGCGUUGUCCGGAAUUAUUGGGCGUAAAGAGCUCGUAGGCGGUUUGUCGCGUCUGCUGUGAAAACUCGGGGCUUAACUCCGGGCCUGCAGUGGGUACGGGCAGACUAGAGUGCGGUAGGGGAGACUGGAAUUCCUGGUGUAGCGGUGAAAUGCGCAGAUAUCAGGAGGAACACCGGUGGCGAAGGCGACAUCCUGGACCAACACUGACGCUGAGUGAGCGAAAGCCAGGGGAGCAAACGGG